rnacentral:rRNA from 1 species
GCUCCAAUAGCGUAUAUUUAAGUUGUUGCAGUUAAAAAGCUCGUAGUCGGACUUGGCUGAGAACGGUCGGUCCGCCGUUAGGUGUGCACUGACUGGUCUCAGCUUCCUGGUGAGGAGGUGUGCUUCACGGCCACUUAGUCACCGUGGUUACUUUGAAAAAUUAGAGUGUUCAAGCGGGCUUACGCUUGAAUAUAUUAGCA